UUUUCUCAUUUAUAAAAAGCCACUCCGUCCCUCUCUACGUGAAAUCCUGCUGGCUUUACUUCGGAAGGUCGUCCAUGCGCCGAACCCUAGUUUUUUCACUCUUCGGACAUUCGCCAUCCCUAGUGGACGACGCCGCCUCACCUUCCUUUGCCAGGUAUCCUCCUCGAUUUGUGAAAUGAGUUCGAGCCAGUCGACGACAUCAAUGCGAAACCUGGACAUCCCUAUUUAUUGUCAUUGUAAUCUACAAUGUUAAAUUUUUACUUACUAUAAACCGAACAAUCGUGGCAGAAAAAUUCUACCGAUGCUCGCGUAACAGAUCAGAGGAUGAUUGUCGAUUUUUUAGGUGGGUCGACGUACGAAAUGAUUUAUCAGAAGAAAUGAAUCAUUUUACAAAUGCAAAUGAAGCUGAAAUCCGUUCCAACCAGCCUGUCGCAGUUACAAAUGAUUUUUUUCAAAAUAAAAUGUUAUUGGUGGUCCUAAUUUUGCUUGUUGUGAUUGACUUGAAUAUGAUAUCAAGGUGUUGUAGUUGUAAAUUAGUAGAACUGUGCUUUUGCAUUUUAUAGUUGACUUUAAGUUUAUAUCAAAGUGUAGUAAUAGUAACUAAGACGCUAAUAAUGCAAUUUGUUUUUGCUAUU